rnacentral:rRNA from 1 species
UGUCAAGCUACAAAGAGCUCACGGU